GCGGAUGUGGUGGAAUUGGUAGACACACUGGAUUUAGGUUCCAGCGCCGAAAGGUGUGAGAGUUCGAGUCUCUCCGUCCGCA
rfam:Pseudomonas lutea strain DSM 17257 Contig002, whole genome shotgun sequence.